rnacentral:rRNA from 1 species
GAACGCUGGCGGCGUGCUUAACAUCAUGCAAGUCGAACGGAAAGGCCUUUUCGGAGGUACUCGAGUGGCGAACGGGUGAGUAACACGUGGGUGAUCUGCCCUGCACUCUGGGAUAAGCCUGGGAAACUGGGUCUAAUACCGGAUAGGACCGCACUUUAGUGUGUGUGGUGGAAAGUUUUUUCGGUGUAGGAUGAGCCCGCGGCCUAUCAGCUUGUUGGUGGGGUAAUGGCCUACCAAGGCGGCGACGGGUAGCCGGACUGAGAGGUUGGUCGGCCACAUUGGGACUGAGAUACGGCCCAGACUCCUACGGGAGGCAGCAGUGGGGAAUAUUGCACAAUGGGCGCAAGCCUGAUGCAGCGACGCCGCGUGGGGGAUGACGGCCUUCGGGUUGUAAACUCCUUUCGCCAGGGACGAAGCGUUUUGUGACGGUACCUGGAGAAGAAGCACCGGCUAACUACGUGCCAGCAGCCGCGGUAAUACGUAGGGUGCAAGCGUUGUCCGGAAUUACUGGGCGUAAAGAGCUCGUAGGUGGUUUGUCACGUCGUCUGUGAAAUUCCACAGCUUAACUGUGGGCGUGCAGGCGAUACGGGCUGACUUGAGUACUGUAGGGGUAACUGGAAUUCCUGGUGUAGCGGUGAAAUGCGCAGAUAUCAGGAGGAACACCGAUGGCGAAGGCAGGUUACUGGGCAGUUACUGACGCUGAGGAGCGAAAGCAUGGGUAGCAAACAGGAUUAGAUACCCUGGUAGUCCAUGCCAUAAACGGUGGGCGCUAGGUGUAGGGGCCUUUUGGGGUUUCUGUGCCGUAGCUAACGCAUUAAGGCGCCCCGCCUGGGGAGUACGGCCGCAAGGCUA